rnacentral:rRNA from 1 species
AUUGAACGCUGGCGGCAGGCCUAACACAUGCACGUCGAACGAGUGGCGGACGGGUGAGUAAUGUCUGGGAAACUGCCUGAUGGAGGGGGAUAACUACUGGAAAAGGUAGCUAAUACCGCAUACAAUAAGAUGUGCACAGAUGGGAUUAGCUAGUUGGUGGGGUAACGGCGCACCAAGGCGACGAUCCCUAGCUGGUUUGAGAGGAUGACCAGCCACACUGGAACUGGGACACGGUCCAGACUCCUACGGGAGGCAGAAGGGGGGAAUAUUGCACAAUGGUCGCAAGCCUGAUGCAGCCAUGCCGCGUGUAUGAAGAAGGCCUUCGGGUUGUAAAGUACUUUCAGCGGUGAGGCGUUACCCGCAGAAGAAGCACCGGCUAACUCCGUGCCAGCAGCCGCGGUAAUUC